AAAAUGGCUCUUUUCAGAGCCCACAAAAUUAAUUUUUUUAAAGAGU
rfam:Lutzomyia longipalpis Contig35371, whole genome shotgun sequence.